CCUCCAAUUUUAAAUGUCACUGCCUUGUAUUUCCCGCUUUGGGCCUCUAGAACUGUUUCAAAAGUGCCCAUGGGUGGGAAGCAAAAACAAAUACCUUAUGAGAAUAAGAAGACAGUUUUUUGGGAGCAAUAUAGUUCAUUUUCCUUGCUCAUAUUUAAUUGGAAAAUCAGAGAAGUGGCAUUAUAUAUUCGCACUGGAGUUACAGAACUUUCUGUUUUGACAGAUUGGUUAUUCAUAGGUGUGUCGUAAGGCAUUUCUUGAUGGUAUAAUUUAGGCCAGUGUGGUCUUGUACUACCCCUUAGUGAAGCCUUAAACGAUGGUCAGUAUUUUGGGAGUUUUAAUUUGACUGGAUUUGUAGUCUUCUGUUCAAUGUUUUUAAAAAUAUUGUAUAAUUGACUCUUUAAUUGAACUGUAUAGAUUAAGAAAGCCUUUAAAAACUAAUGGAUAAAGUAUCUAUUUGGCUUUUAAUUUGGAAUAAUUUCAGUGACUGUUACAAAUAGUGAUACCUUUAAAAGGCACUUUACUGGAAUUUGAUGGUUUUGUUUUUGCAUUUGCAGUUUUCUACUCUAAACUGUAGUUCAUUUCUGUGGCUUUUCUUAUGUUUAGCUUUACAGAUGGGAACCUCUACUGCUUAGCCUUUCUAUACAUCUGGUGCAGCAUAUUGGCUAAUCCACUGUGCAUAAUAACUGUUAGCAAUCCCAUUCAUUCUUCAGUCCUAGAGGUAUCAGCAUAAUCAAAGAAUGAUGCAAAUUAAGUUAAUUGUGGUGUUCCUUUAUUUUUACAGUUGAAGGCACAGUUAAAUGAAACACUCACAAAACUUAGAACUGAACAAAAUGAAAGACAGAAGGUAGCUGGUGAUUUGCAUAAGGCUCAACAGUCACUGGAGCUUAUCCAGUCAAAAAUAGUAAAAGCUGCUGGAGACACUACUGUUAUUGAAAAUAGUGAUGUUUCCCCAGAAACGGUAUGUAUUUUCUUCAUCCCCAGAUCUCUGAGCUAGUUACCUUGUGACCUGUGUGAAGAACAAAAAUGUAUAAGGUCCAUCUCUGAAAGUCAUCUUUCUUGAAAAUAUCCUGUCCCUAAAACGUAGUGUUUUCACUGAUGUUUGAUCUCAUUUUUGCUUAGUGAGGUAUGUUAAUUUUAAGGGUUGUGUUGAGAGGUAUGGAGCAGGGGUCCCCAAUCCCUGGACUGUGGACGGGUACCAGUCAGUGGCUUUUUAGGAACCAGGCCACACAGCAGGAGAUGAGUGGUGGGUUAAUGACCAUUACCGCCUGAGCUCUGCCUCCUGUCAGAUCAGUGGCAGCAUUAGAUUCUCAUAGGAGUGCAAACCCUAUUGUGAACUGCAUACUCCUUAUGAGAAUCUAAUGCCUGAUGAUCUGAGGUGGAACGGUUUCAUCCUGAAACUAUCCCCGCACUCACCCAUCUGUGGAAAAAUUGUCUUCCACAAAACUGGUCCCUGGUGCCAAAACGGUUGGGUACCGCUGGCUUAGAGUAUAGACUCUGGAGCUAGACUGCCUAUGUUUGAAUCCUGGCUCUGCCACUUAGUAGCUAUGUGAAUUUGGGCAGAUCUUAGCCACUUUGUGCUUUAGUUGCCCCAUCUGUAAAAGGCAAUGAUAAUAGUACCUAUCCUGUGGGGUUUUUGAAAGAAGUAAAUGAGUUAAUACAUAAAACACUUAAAAUAGUAGGUGGUACUUACAACAGUGCCUGGCACUUACUUAGUAAGAGCUCAAUAUAUAUUAACUUUUUUUACUAUUUGGAAUGUGCUUUCUUUUGCAGGGCAAAUUUUUUUUUCUGAAAGAAAAAAUGGAUAUAUUUCUGAUAUUCAUAGAUUCUAGAUUUUUUUCCUUUUGUGUCCAAGUGACAACAUUUAUAACAUAGUUUUCUUUGGUGCCAACUAGUUUGCACCACUAGUUAGCAAACAGUAUUUCUCUAUGUGGUUUUUGUUAUUGUUGAUUUUCAUGUCAUUGUUCAGAUUUUUUAAUGUUUGUGUUUAAAUCAGCAAUAUAACAUUUUCUGUUGUUUGGUUGUACAUUUCUUUUCCUUGUGUAUGGAGUUUAUCAUCACUUCCAUCUUCUUUUUAGGAGUCUUCUGAGAAGGAGACAAUGUCUGUAAGUCUAAAUCAGACUGUAACACAGUUACAGCAGUUGCUUCAGGCAGUAAACCAACAGCUCACAAAAGAGAAAGAGCACUACCAGGUGUUAGGUAAGGACAACUGAAAUAUUGCUGUCUAUGGGUAAUUGACGUUAGGUGUAUGUGUAAUGUGUAUUUACAUAAAUAAAGGAAGCUCACUUCACUAGAGGAAAUAUUCCUUCUUUAUCUCUCUCAGAACUUCAGAUGACAGCCUUAAGCUUUCUUGGAGCUUUAGUUCUAUUUUGUGCAUAUUUUGAAGGUCUUGUAGCUUGGAGGGGUUAUCUUUGCCUCCUUUGACCUUUGUAUCAAACAGAUUCUCUUGUAACUUGGCUGCCUGGGUUUUUGUAUGUUGCCUCAAUACCUGCAACUGCUUCGUUAGUUUAUUCUGUUCUUAGUUUAGAGUAAGUAUCUGUGACCUUUUCUCCCCCUUCCCUUCCUUCCUCCUUUCCUCCUCCCAAAAUAAAAUGACCAUAACAUUUUAACUGAGGUAAGAUUGCUGAACUGAAAGUAAAGUCAUCACAGUGUCAUAAAAUUGAAAGCUGGUUUUUAUUCAAGUUUGCUUUUGUUAGGUAAUCUAAGAAAUUCAUUCAUUAGCUCCUGAAGUGAGAUUUUUACUUGAGGAUAGCUAAACCCAUAAUUAACCAAGUCAUGUUAUGAGCUUUUAUUGUCUAUAUUACCUUGGAAGGCUCAGAUUUGGUAGCAUUUUAAAAUGACUUGUAUUCCAGCGGUGAAUGCAGUUUUUGUUUUUCUGGUUGUAGGUUUUUUUUGUUGUUGUUUUGUUUUUUCUGUUGCUACCUGGAUUUUACCUGUUUUAUGAAUAACUUAAGUCACACUGCCUAGAGUGUAAUUAGAGUAUUCAGAUAUGCACUGAAUACUUCAGAUAUUCUUCUUUUGAAGAUAUUUUCUCUAAAACAAUCAUGAUAUCCUGGAGACCCUGAGGGGCAACUCAUCACUGAAUUAUCCCUUUCAGAACCCCUGAUAAUACUGUGUUGGGCUAUACAAGGCCUCAGGGAGAGCUUAGGUAUUCUGGAAAAGUUGGGAUGGACUUCCAUUUUGAUGUUACAGGAGCAUUUUGUCUCACUUUAGAGUGAUCAUCCUCUGGCCUACCUUGACACAUGCUCUCCUUCAAAAUGCUAAUUCAGGUCAGUUAUCUCUAACAUGACUUUCUAUAUGAUAAGCCCAGCUCAUUCUUCAGCAUAUCAACAAAAGUAAUUAAGCCUCAUCCCAAAUCUUUUAUCCUUGGUAAGCUGACUUCUCCAGUUUCCCAGUGUAAAAAUUCUGCCAAUUUGCUCGCUUUUCCAAAUUAGGAAGUAACCUUGCUUCCUAGGGAAACUCUUCCAUCGCUCCUUCCCAGGACUUCAGCCUUAUUCUUUCCACUGGCUCCCUCUGUUCAGUCUUGAAAACAUGCUCAGAUGGCUUAUUUUAACCUUGUACUUCCUUCAGGUUACCACCGUUAUUUUUUACUUUUUUACUAUUUAGUAUUCUUAAGAAAAUACUCUCUAUCUACUUAUUUAUUGUUAUUGAUUACUUUAUACACUCUAGAAUGGCUUUUCUUCCUGCUAUUUCAAUGAAAUCAUUUUUGCAAAAAUCAUUAAUGAUCCCUAAUUGCUAGAUCCAAUAUAGGCCCUUCUUUUGCAUGUGAUGAGAUACUGAAAGUACUUAUGAAAUAUGUCAAAAAUGCUGAUGUUAGACCUUUGCGUUAUAAGGGAAGGGUUUCAUUUCUAGAGAGCUUAAACAAUUAAAAGAUUGCCUAUUACCCCUUGCCUUUAGACCUAAGCAAUAUUCUCUCUUUAGCAUCUCAUAGAUGUUCUUUAAUAUUUUUCUUUUCUUCCUAAAUACAUAGUCUGCUCAUUUUAAGUCUUGUGAACUAUUUUUGGCUUGUCCGUUGCCACAUUUGUUUUAAUUGUAUUACAUUUGAGACAUAUGAAUCAUUGAUAAUAACACUUUUUCUUUUUGAUUUACAGAAUUAUAGUAAUUUAUUAAAAUAUGUCUGUAUACCCUCACAACGCAGUUGGCAGACAGCUCCCCUAAGUGAUAGCACAACAUUCUUUUGUCAGCUGAUAAACAUAAGUCCAAGUUUGGCAAGUGGGUGGUUGACAGUAUUAUAUCAUGAAUGAUAGGCUAGAUUGUUAUGAAAAUAGAGGCCCACCAGACCCUCUCGAACUUCUUCAUUCCUUAGGCUCUGCCUGGCAUUGACGUUGAUAAUUCUUCCUUAUGUGCUUAUGUUUUGGUUCCCAUAGCUCUUCUUUAUACCCGUUAAAUGUUUGUGUUACCCUCAGGUUUUUAUCCUUAGCUAUCAUUUUUGCUACAUGUAUUCUCCCUCCCGUAUACUCUAUUUAAACUGACACGAGAUGAUUAAAUUGAAAAUAACACAUUUCUUAAUCAUUAGAAUGUAGGUAAUAGGUUAAUAUAUCUAAUGUCAAGAAACCUUUAAAAAUAUACACAAGUACUUAUGAAUUGUUUAUGAUAAUGCUGCACAUAGUAAAGGGAGAGUUGUUUUUAAAAACAAAUAUGCAAGAGAUAAUAUGCAGUGAUGUAGUUUUUCUAAAUCCUGAUACAUAGUAUUUAGCGUUUCUUAGAACUGAUAUCUUUAAUUUGUGAAAACUUUUCUUUUGGAAAUUUUUUUUCCCAUUACCUAUUUUUCCUCCCCCCCAUCAAAAAAAGAAAAGGGUACCAUCCUCCUCUUUCCAUUUGAGGGGAGUGGGAGAUUGAUUAAGAUGCCUUUUAUAUGAAUUGACAGUAUUGGCAUUUUAUAAUAUACUUUUUUGUUCCCAGAUAUCUACUCUUUAUGUUUCACAUUUGCCUGGUUUCUAAGUUUUCUAGGUGUAUUUCUAACCAAAUCAGAAAACUUUAUUAUCCCAGGUUACCUUAUCUUGGAACCAGUUUGUAGAAUCCUGUUGAGGGAGGAUGAUAAUUUAAAUAGCUGAUACUUCAUGAGUAUGCCUGUAAGCAUAAGCAUGCUUCCAACAUGUGGCAGCUCCUUUAAUCUUCACAACCACCCUGUGCGUUAGGUAGGUAGGUAUUAUUAUUCCCAUGUUACAAAAGACCCAAAGAGAUUCUAUAACUUGUCCAAGGUCAUACGGCUAAUAAAUGGGCGAGCUGGGGUUUAAAUCAAGGUAGUUUGGGUACAGGGCUUGUGUUGUUAAUCAUUGCUUUUCUUCUCCCUAAUUCAGGCACUGUGUUCACUGAUCCCUUUUGUCACUGUUUUCUUUUCUCCUCAUUUUGUCUUUUUAUUUGUUUAUUUUUUUUGCCAGCCUCUUAGAAAUUUUGUCAGUGAAUUCUGACUUUUUCCUAAAGUUGGUAUUUGGUUUGUCAGUAGUGUAUUGGAGAGGCUUACAGUAUUAUCCAGAUGAAAUGGAGGUGAAGCUCUGUGUGUGCUCUCUGUACCCCCUUUAACAAAUAGAUUCUUAAGUGUUUCUGGAAGAAAAAGUCCUUUUGUAGUGCUCCUGAAGUACAAGAGUUAAUGCUCUGGAGAAAAACUUAUCUUAUUUCUACACUGAACCUUGGCUAUCGUAUGGAUCAGGUUUUCAUUUUCUGUAAUAUGUUUACAUAGCACUUUAGAGUUUAAUGUACUAGUGAUCUUUUUAGACUUUCCAAUCAACUGUUAAUAGCCAGUGAUAACUUUGCUUUUUAAUUUUCCAAUUGCUUCUUUCCUCUAAACUUUUUAUUUUGAAAAACUUCACACAUAAAGUUGAAAGAAUAGUACAACACCCAUAAACCCUCCACCUGCUUCAUCUCUUUCUAUAUGUCUACAUAUUUUGUUGUUGUUAAACUAAUUGAAAGUAACUUUUAGUCGUUAUGACAUUUUAUCUCUAAGUACUUUAGCACGCAUCUCCGAAAACAAGACAUUGUUUUACCAAUCAGUGGUACCAUUAUUACAUCCAAAAAGACAAAAUAGUAGUUAUGUAGUAUCUGAUAUUAAACCUUUGUUCACAUUUUGUCAAUCGUACCCAAAGUAGCUUUUUAACUAUUUUCCCCAAACCAGAAUCCAAGGCAAAAUUUAACAUGUUGUGUUUGGUUAAGUCCUCUUAGUCUCUCUAAUGGCUUUUGAAGUUUAAUUUCUGUAGUCAUCUUAUGUGACUUAGAAAACUUCAUAUGAGCUAAAAAAAAAAAAAA
rnacentral:sRNA from 1 species